rnacentral:rRNA from 1 species
GUGAGUAACACGUGAGUAACCUGCCUUAGACAUUGGGAUAGCCUCGGGAAACCGGGAUUAAUACCAAAUAAAAUCAUAAUGACACAUGUCAUAACGAUCAAAACUCCGGUGGUCUAAGAUGGACUCGCGUCCCAUUAGCUAGUUGGUAGAGUAAAAGCCUACCAAGGCGACGAUAGGUAGCCGGCCUGAGAGGGUGAACGGCCACAUUGGAACUGAGAAACGGUCCAA